GAUGAAGAACGUAACGAAAUGCGAUAAGUAAUGUGAAUUGCAGAAUUCAGUGAAUCAUCGAAUCUUUGAACGCACAUUGAGCCCCCUGGUAUUCCGGGGGGCAUGCCUGUCCGAGCGUCAUUACAACCCUCAAGCUCAGCUUGGUAUUGGGCCCCGCCGACCCGGCGGGCCCUAAAGUCAGUGGCGGUGCCGUCCGGCUCCGAGCGUAGUAAUUCUUCUCGCUCUGGAGGUCCGGUCGUGUGCUCGCCAGCAACCCCCAAUUUUUUUCAGGUUGACCUCGGAUCAGGUAGGGAUACCCGCUGAACUUAAGCAUAUCAAUAAGCGGAGGA
rnacentral:misc_RNA from 1 species